CCCAGGGCAGCCCCGGAGACCUUGGUGGCCGGAUGCGGGGGUGCGUCACUUCCGGGCGGUGGAGCGGCGGCGGCUUGGAAGAUGGCUGCGCCCUGUGGCUCGGAGCUGCCCGCCAACUCGCCGCUAAAAAUUCCGAAGAUGGAGGUGCUCUCCCCGGCUUCUCCUGGCGACCUGAGCGACGGGAACCCAUCGCUGUCCGACCCUUCCACGCCUCGGGGAGCCUCCCCUCUCGGGCCGGGCAGCGCGGCGGGCUCGGGGGCCGCGGCGUCCGGGGGUCUCGGGCUGGGGCUGGGGGGCCGCAGCGCUGCCUCGUCCUCGGUCUCCUUCUCGCCCGGCGGCGGCAGUGGCGGGGCUGCGGCGGCCGCUGCCGCCGCCUGCCGGGGCAUGUCGUGGACGCCGGCAGAGACGAACGCGCUCAUCGCUGUGUGGGGCAACGAGCGGCUGGUGGAGGCGCGGUACCAGCAGCUGGAGGGAGCCGGCACGGUAUUCGGCAGCAAGGCCCCUGGGCCGGCCAUGUACGAGCGCGUGUCCCGGGCCCUGGCCGAGCUAGGCUACGAGCGGACCCCGUCCCAGUGCCGGGAGCGCAUCAAGGGGAUAUCUAGUUGGAAUGCUUCAUUGUCCAGUUAUGAGAAGGAAAUCUAAAGCAAAGAAAGGAGAUUGAGCCUCUGAAGAAUUUAGAGGAUCAGUUUACCUGUUUUCAGACAGCUGGUUCGAUGCCCAGACCUGAAUGCUGUGCUCCAGCUGUGGCCUCACCGGUGCUGAAUAGAGAGGAAGAGCCACCUUCAUAGCUUACAUGUGAUUCCUCUGCUUAUACAACCCAAUACUGGAUUUACUUACUUUGGCAAGAUAGCUGCAUUGUGCACUGUAUUUAAUGUUCCGUGUACUGUAACCCUGGGUCUUUCUCUGCAUUGCUGCCGUCACCCUCAGUCCUGCCAAUCUAAACCUCCUGCCUCUGUUUACCUGCCCUUCUUCCUUAGACUCCCAUGCAUUCAUGCACAAUGAAUGUCAUCUUUUUAUUCUCUAAUUCCCUUUUCCUUUAAUCUCAAAUUCUGGCAAGACUUUCACUCUGUCCUAUAAAUUUUCAGCGGUCAGCCAACCCCACCCCCCCCCACCCCCGCCCCGCUCCCGCUUUGGUAAUGGGACGUCCCUCAAGCCUUCUCUCGGGUUCUUCUCCGUUUGUGGCCCUGAGACCUAAGCAUUUGGUGUGGUGGAUUGAAUAAGCGUUCACCUGGCGUUUCUGAAGCUCAGCGACUCUGGUUUGACCCCUUGAAGUUGUUCCCUUGCUUAGUUCUGUCUAGAUUUCCUUGAUUCUUGGUCUUGGUGGAUAGUAUAGUCUUACAGCCCCUCCUCCAGGGAGAUGAAAACCGUACUAUCAACAUCAACGAAGCAGAGAGAUUUCUCACAGUAAGGAAGUUAACUGUUGUCUUUUAAUAGACUAGCCUUUAGCAGUCUUAGAGUUGGUUCUCCAGUUGGAGGUGAAUUUGAUGCUGUACAUUUCUGAGAUGAGUGAGGUGAGUGAAGCACUGACUGAAGCCAGGGCUGUCCAUCAGGGUCAGGUGGACUGCGCCAGCCAGCCAGCCAGCCAGCCAGCCAGCCGGUGGAUCGUGGUGGAGUUGGUAGCUGAUUCAAGUGGGAGCUGCAGCCUCUUUGUUCCUGGGCUCUGGAGCAUCCUGAUCUGACUUAGAGAAGGGUUUUAGUUGCUUUGUUUAGGAUUGUUGAUACAGCCGCCCAGUCUUUUAAUGAUAUGCUUUGAUUAAGCAUUUAGAGGCUAAUGUAUUGUAUAAUCUUUACUGUGGGUGGUAAGAAUUCGAAGGUCUCCAGACAUCCUUUUUAUCUAUGUGUAAGCUCUCAAGUGGAUCCUAGUGGGUCAGCAGUUAAGCCGAUGUUGAUGUUUGAGUCCCCCCAUGCCCCAUCUUAGUGGAUAUGCCCUGUUUAAACAGACUGCCCUUGAAUUUGUGAUAUUUAUUAGACCUACAAGUACUGCUUACAUGCAUUUAUAUUUGGAAGGAGAGAAAGUUGGUUUGGAAAUCUUUUUAAUGCAAUUUCAGUAUAUCAAGUUAGACAUUACCAAACACCUGGUAGAUGUCAGCACAUUGUACUAAUUUUAAACAUGUGUUACAGGUGUAUACUACAAGUAAAAGGUGUUUAUAGCUGUCAGAGAUUGCUGGUUUCAGUAUUCACAGUUACAUAACCAAAAAAAUUGUAAGCUCAAUUUGGUGGCUUUGAAAAAAAUGUCUUUUCUCUGAUUUCUCCCCAUGUAUAUUAUAAAAACUUGGUGACUCUAUUUUUGAUGAGAACAAAUGGUUUUAAAUAUAGGAGGAAAAUGGUAGAGUUGCUGUGCCUUUGUCACUUCCUUGUAAGUAUGGCACCCUUCUUGGAAGGUAAUGUUAGUUUGGUCCCUCGGCUUCUAGAGUAGCCCUCAGUGACCAAACUGAGUGGACUUUGCUGUUGUAGGAGCCAGUGAGUGGUGAAGGGUAAUUGUUUCCAUCUCCAUUUAUGGUCUUAGGAGGGGAAAUGCACAGGGUUGGGACUCUCUAUUUACAGUCUUUGGAGGAGUCAAGAGAGGUUGGGAUGUUCUUGCAGGCAGAAACUAGAUAUUGUAAGAUAAAAAUAAAUUGUCAGAGGCUGUUUGCAAUUCAAAUUCCGAUCUCUGAGGAGGUGAAGGGUGCUGGGAAAGGGGAGUAUGUUCGAAGUUAAAUGAUAUUUGCAGCGCUUGUCUCUUUCCAUUGGGAGAUUUGACCAUGACACACAUUUUCCAAGUUUUUGAUACUAGAUUGUUUAAGAAAGUUUUGUCCUAUGGGGUCAAAAUUCUUUGUUACAAAAAGAAAGCCUAGAUGGAUUUUUAAAGAGUUUACAUGAGAAGCCUCAGUUUUCUGUAAGGAUCGUUUGAGGUGGUGGGAGUGAUUCUUUGAAAGGGAUAGUGGGUAGAUGCUCAUUCGGGGGUCCAAGCUGCCCUGGUGCUGUGUCUGAGGGAGAUCUCACUGCUCAUGCUUUUAUUAUUCUUUUUGCCUAUUUUGAUUUCUGGCCUCAGAGCAGAUUUUUAAAAAGUCUUUGAGGAAGUGUCUUGUAGAUUGUCAGCUGUGAUUUAAAGAUCCUGCACUUCAUGGAGAUCUGUACAGCUCCAGACUUGUUAUAGUUUGGUGAGAAUGGGUCAUAUAUUGGCUGAUGGAAGGUAAUCUUCUUUAGGAGAGUCUUACAAUCUUGACAAUGCUUUUACAUUAGGUUAGAGAUAAACUAGUUUUAGCAGUUAAGUUAGAAAGUAUUUAGGAGCCACUAGGGAAAGGGGCUUUUGCCUCAAGCAAAUUCUGACUAAAACCCCAUGACAGAGAAGAAGGAAAGCAAGGCAGGCAGAGACACACAGCGCACAGCCUGAAUGUGGCUGUGUGUUUGAGACUAAGUCCUUGGUGUACUUCUGAUGUGUCUGGAAGAUAGCAUGAGGUAUACUAUUAAUUUCAGGAACUGGGCCAGUCUGAAAUACAUAGUAGAAAUAAAGACAAUAAAAAAAGGAAAGAGUUGAACAAGACAGAAGGUUAUUCAGGUUUUGUUUAGGAGCUUGCACAGUGUAUUUACUUGCUGUGCCAAGUGACAGAGAACGACAUGAGAUGACUCCCUUCCUCACCCUCCCUGAGAAGGACUGUCAGCCUUGUUUGUUGGUUUGUUGGUUUGUUUAAUUGGCAGUGUGAAUUGGUAGAUUAGUAAAAUGUAGGUAUUAAUGUACUAUUUCUUGGUCAUUGUGUCUGAGACUAGGAACUUAUGAUUGAUUUGAUUGCUGCUUCAGUUACAGACAUUUUUAUGAUGACAAUGAGUUAGGAAGGAACAGACUGUACGUGAUCUAUUUUGUUAGCUACUUUGUCUAGACAGCUGUUUUCCCCUGUUCUUAACUAAGAGUAAGGAAGAUGUUUUCCUCUUGGGGAGAUUCUUCUUUCUGUCCUCUUUCCCUCACGUUUUUCCAAAAUCUGGGCACCAUAGCAGCUCUCUCUCCUGUGGCAGGUGUGCAUCCUAUUGGCUGGCUGGUAUUUCUUUUUUUCCUCCCCCUUAUCCUUUUUAAAUGCGGGAGGGGGUUUAAAAUAUGUGUAUUGGGUAUAUGCAAUAAUGUUGUAAUGUUUCUUGUUGUUUUAAUUGAUAAUUGCAAAAUAACUGUUUGAAUUAUAACAUGUUUGAGUAAAUGCUAAAUUAGUAUUUUUCUAGUAUAAUAAUGAAUUUGAAAUAGCAUUCCUGUAACAAUGUGUUUGUGUUUGUCUGUCUGUGUCUGUCUGAUAGUAAUUAAUAUCUGUGGUCCGUAUCUGGAGGCGGAAGUACAGCUUUAAAGGAAUAACAAAAGACUUUGUGUCUUAGACCCUUCGCAGGUGUUACAGUCGGGUGAAAGAACAUGGUGUUGGGAAAAGAAAGAGCAGUUACACAUUUGAACAGUUGGAACAGGUGUUUGG